rnacentral:rRNA from 1 species
AUUGAACGCUGGCGGCAGGCCUAACACAUGCGAGUCGAGCGGAUGAAGGGAGCUUGCUCCUGGAUUCAGCGGCGGACGGGUGGGUAAUGCCUAGGAAUCUGCCUGGUAGUGGGGGAUAACGUCCGGAAACGGGCGCUAAUACCGCAUACGUCCUGAGGGAGAAAGUGGGGGAUCUUCGGACCUCACGCUAUCAGAUGAGCCUAGGUCGGAUUAGCUAGUUGGUGGGGUAAAGGCCUACCAAGGCGACGAUCCGUAACUGGUCUGAGAGGAUGAUCAGUCACACUGGAACCGAGACACGGUCCAGACUCCUACGGGAGGCAGCAGUGGGGAAUAUUGGACAAUGGGCGAAAGCCUGAUCCAGCCAUGCCGCGUGUGUGAAGAAGGUCUUCGGAUUGUAAAGCACUUUAAGUUGGGAGGAAGGGCAGUAAGUUAAUACCUUGCUGUUUUGACGUUACCAACAGAAUAAGCACCGGCUAACUUCGUG